rnacentral:rRNA from 1 species
UACAGAGACCUCAAACUUUAUCCGGAUUUAUUGGGCGUAAAGGGUCCGCAGGUGGCCGUUCACGUCGGUGGUCAAACUUCGGGGCUCAACCCUGAAACUGCCUCCGAUACGGUUCGGCUAGAGGGUGGGAGAGGUACGCGGAAUUACCGGUGUAGUAGUAAUAUGCGUUGAUAUCGGUAAGAACACCAAAUGCGAAGGCAGCGUACUGGAACACACCUGACACUCAGGGACGAAAGCGUGGGGAGCGAAAGGG